AUUUGUCCCCUAAAUAGGGACUUGUAUGAACGGCUAAAUGAGGUUCUAACUGUCUCAUUAGACUAAUCAAUGAAACUGAUCUUUCAGUACAAAAGCUGAAAUAAACCCAUAAGACGAGAAGACCCUGUGGAGCUUAAAAUACAUACUAUAAACCCCGCUUAUCAGUCUUUUAGUUGGGGCGACUUUGGAACAAAACAAAACUUCCAUGCUAGGUCCCUAUUAAGGCCAACACGCCGAAACAACCACUUAUUGACCCAGCUCCCCUCAAAGCUGAUCAACGAACCAAGUUACCCCAGGGAUAACAGCGCCAUCCUCUUCAAGAGUCCCUAUCGACAAGAGGGUUUACGACCUCGAUGUUGGAUCAGGACACCCCGGUGGUGCAACCGCUA
rnacentral:rRNA from 1 species